rnacentral:rRNA from 1 species
AUUGAACGCUGGCGGCAUGCUUGACACAUGCAAGUCGAACGGCAGCACGAAAGAGCUGGCUCUUUUGGGGGCGAGGGGCGAACGGGUGAGUCAUGCAUCGGAACGUACCGAGUAAAGGGGGAUAACUGCCCGAAAGGAUGGCUAAUACCGCAUACGCUUUGAGAAGGAAAGUGGGGGCACUUCGGACCCCACGUUAGUCGAGCGGCCGAUGUCUGAUUAGCUAGUGGGUGGGGUAAAGGCCGACCAAGGCGACGAUCAGUAGCGGGUCUGAGAGGAUGAACCGCCCCCCGCCGAGUGGGACACCGCCCAGACCCCUACGGGAGGCAGCGGUGGGGAAUUGUGGACCGUGCGCGCAGACCUGAUACAGCCAUGCCGCGUGUCUGAAGAAGGCCUUCCGGUUGUAAAGGACUUUUGUUAGGGAAGAAACGGAUAGUGUUAGUACCAUCAUCUGCUGCCGGUACCUAAAGAAUAAGCACCCGCUAACUUCGUG